AGGGCUAUAGCUUGGCUUGGUACUUCGUUUACACCGAAAAGGGAUACGGUUCGAGCACGUAUAGACCUA
rnacentral:tRNA from 1 species